GCGCAUGAAUGGAUUAAC
rnacentral:snRNA from 1 species